rnacentral:lncRNA from 1 species
GCGCUGGGCCCGGCCUGGGCUUGCAGACCCGAGCCCCGCAGGCCGGCCCCAGCGGCGGUGGCUCCGGCAAGCCGAAGAAAGGGGACCUUUAUGCCUUUUGGGGGAAGCACACAUUCUGCGAGGCCGUGGAAACAAAGAGAGGAACUGUUUGUAGCCCUAGUCCAGACGUCCCAAACAAACAGAGGCCCUGAACAAGCCCUGGGAGGAGGAGCCACUUCAGAGGAGCUCCCUCUGGCUGGAAAUUUUACACCUGCAGCAACCACCGACAGCAAAAACACGGAAACUCAGAACGCAAAAGGUCCGCAUGAGCAAUCCCAAAGUGUAACAGCAGCUGCAGAAGGUGACUGCGGGGAAGCGGAUUGCCCCCCUUUACUUUAGGUUCUGUUUUUAGCCUGUGUU